GGAUGGAAUCUCUGAACUUGGACUUUCAAGAUACAGCAGUGGACAUAGAAAGACAUGGUUUCCCUUGAAUCUCUUCCUUGUUUGGGAACGUCUGUGACGAUUACAACCUACACUGAUGAGGGUUUUGGAGACACCAGUGGACUUAUCAUUACUCCCCAGUGAGGAAAAUCUCCCCCUCUGGCUGUGAUCAAGACUUCCAGCUUUAAUAUGCACGUAGCUGUAGUUUUGUUGUUACU
rnacentral:sRNA from 1 species